rnacentral:rRNA from 1 species
UACGUAGGGUGCGAGCGUUAAUCGGAAUUACUGGGCGUAAAGCGUGCGCAGGCGGUUUUGUAAGCCAGAUGUGAAAUCCCCGGGCUUAACCUGGGAAUGGCAUUUGGGACUGCAAGGCUGGAGUGCGGCAGAGGAGACUGGAAUUCACGGUGUAGCAGUGAAAUGCGUAGAUAUCGUGAGGAAGGCCAGUGGCGAAGGCGAGUCUCUGGACAGUUCCUGACGCUGAGGCACGAAGGCCAGGGGAGCAAACGGG